GCCUGGCUAGCUCAGUCGGUAGAGCAUGAGACUCUUAAUCUUGGGGUCGUGGGUUCGAGCCCCACGUUGGGUG
rnacentral:tRNA from 1 species